rnacentral:lncRNA from 1 species
GACAUUGCAAGGACGCCAAAAACACGAUGUCCAUUCCACUGAAUGACCUUGCCACCAGAUGCUUCAAUUCUAGCAUACUCAUCUUCUCUGCUUGGCUGGUAAAAGAAUACAAGGUAAAAGAGUGAGAUGGUAAUGGAUCAACCACAUUCUUUCCUGCCAGAAUAAGACAAGCGUGUAUGUGAAAAAAAAGAAAAGAAAAGGGAAAAGGAGACAAAAGGUAAUGCUAAAUGUGUGAUUUACUUUAUGAUCAAUUGACAGUGCCAUUGCUUCUUUGCCACGAUAAAGGACUGCUCUUGAAUCCCCACAAUUAGAAACUACAAUAUGAGAUGAACAUAUCACCGCUACAACUGCAGUGGACCCCACAGUUUCCGGGGCAAUAGGUUCAGAGGCGCAGCUAGUGGUAUCUAUGUUGUCUUCACCGGGAUCACUGUUUACUUUCCCCCCAACUUCAUCGUCAACCUUGAGAAAGCAACUAGUAAAGACCUUCUCCCACUGCACCUGACGUGUGUCCUUUGCACUCCCGUCCACCAUAUCAUCUUUAAAAAGUUUUAACUCCUCAACUAAUGCUAAAUGAAUGCGUUUGCAGCAAUAAUCCGCAACCUGCAUGACAAAACAGCAGUCAGUUAUAUUAAACUUAGUUCUCAUUAAGUCGACUUGAUGAGGAUUUAAACUGAUGGUAGAACACAUAACCAGGUAGUUCGACCUGGAGAAGUUAAAUUGACACAUUUUUAUCUUGCUGAAAUGCUACACAGCUGAAAUUAUGGGAUGAAGAAAUGGCUGGUGCACUGUGUACAAGAUAAUUGUGAGGUCUGAAAUAAAUGAUGUAUGGAAAAUUUGAUUUAUCUAAAGGAGUAUUUAAUUGGCUAAUCAAUCAAUAUAAACACAUAAAAGAAACACUAUACCUGAGAUCCUCCAUGACCAUCAUAUACACCAUAAAAAUGAGAUGUCAGGUGACUCAGACGUUGACUUAGUCCGUCAAUCACACGAUCACCAAUAAACAUUUUGAUAGGUAUUUUCAUGAAAUUAGGAACAACCAUAAGAGCAUCCUCCAUCUCUGGUCUCUUUCCACAGAUAGAUACAGAGCCCCAGAGUGGCACGCAUUCCAAUUCAAACACACUCUUGACACUUUCUUUGACAGGUUCAUUCUCACUGGGCAACGGAAGAACCACUACGGAUGCCUUUAGCGUAGGGCCAGUAGUAAUUUCAUCAUCUGGGAUAGCAGCAACGGCGGACAGAUUACUGAUCUUUCUCUCAAAACUCCUUUCCUCCAAACUUAUGACUUUGGCAAGUAUUUGACCAUUGUCAAUACCCUCGAUUUCAACAGCAAUUGGCAAACUUAACUCCGAGCUAGCACCCAGUGGCAACAACUCCUCCCCAUUAAUUGCACAAGGAUCCUCUCCAACAGAUAAAAUCUCGUCUUCUUCAUUUCCCUGAAUGAUGCUAUCGCUAACAAUCAGGCCAUUUUCAGCUCCCAAUACAGUCUGCAAUGGACCACAAAAGGGAACUCUACCCACCUCAGCUUUCAUACUGUUGCUAUUUCCAUCCCAACUGGUACUGGGCUCAACAUGCAACAAAGAUGGAUGAUCUGAAAGUAAGCUAGCUGUGUCAGUCACUAAUUUGAGCCUUGUGAUUUCCAUAUUGUUCGAAAUUGCAGGGUUAUCACAGAUAGAGGUGCUUAAGCUGAGUGUAACAGCAACAGCUGGAGACAACUCCUCCAUUAAUUCUUUCUACAGGAAAACAAUAUGCAAAAGCUACGAAUGAAUCUCCCCAAACUAGGAGUCAACCACGUUAGCCCAUCAAAGCCCCUUCCGCGGUUCCACCAACAAAUUUGCACCAAGCUUUAUGUUUCGCAGAGUAGGACUGCUUUAAAGGGAAAUUUACAAGCGCGAUAAAAUAGCUAAAUUAAAAGCACAAGGAGAUGAGCUACGAAUCCACAAAAAUUGGAAAAGACAGCUAAACUAAAAGCAAAAAAAGAUGAGCUAGGAAUCCACAAAAAUGGGGAAAGACAGCUAAAUUAAAAGCACAAGUAGAUGAGGUAGGAAUCCAAAAAAAAAAAGGGGGAAAGACAGCUAAUUUACAAGUACAAGGAGAUGAGCUAGGAAUCCACAAAAAUGGGGAAAGACAGCUAAAUUUAAAGCACAAGGAGAUGAGCUAGGAAUCCACAAAAUGGGGAAAGAUAAAACUGAAUGGGCAAGAAGAUCUCAGUCAACAGCACUCUACAAGAAAUAAAGGGUACACUAAAAAAGACCAAAUAAUAAGUGGAACAAGCUCCAGAUUAGUGAGACAAACAAGGGUAUGAGGGAGAUCUGCAGCUGUAAACAGAUCCAAACUUCUGUAAACUAGAAUUAUGCAAUUCCCUGUAGGAGAAAAAAUCAAGAACAAGAAGAGCAAAUCCUAUCUCCACCAACACCAACCCUUAAAUACACAACAGCAUGGGGAAAACGACAAAAUCAAAGCCUUAUCCAUGAAUUCAACAAGGGAAAGCAAAAGAAUCAUGGAAAAAGAACCUAGGAGAGGUAAAAAAAACAGACACCUAAUCAAGAAUCACAAGAAAACCCUAAAAAGAUACAACCUUUUUUGCCACAUGUAACUUGGGUUUCAUGGAUCUGAGGUAACUCAUGUCCACCUCUCAAAAUAUGAGUCAUUUACUAAAUAAAUUCUCGUUCUC